rnacentral:rRNA from 1 species
GACUUUUGGAUAUUUGGGGCAACCCUGCUCCAGCCAUCCCGUGUGUUCGAUGAAAGUCUUUGGGUUGUAAUGCACUGUUGGCAGCGAAGAAAAGGCGCUGGUUAACACCUCGACCUGCUGACGCAAAAUCACGAAUAGCCACUCGUUUACUACCUGCAAGCAGCAGCGGUAAUACGUAGGGAGCCAGCGUUAGUCGGAAUUACUGGGUGUAAAGCAUGCGCAGGCGGUUCGGCAAGAAGGAUGUGAAAUCCCAGGGCUUAACCUUGGAACUGCAUUCUUAACUGCCGGUCUAGAGUAUGUCAGAGGGGGGUAGAAUUCCGCGUGUAGCAGUGAAAUGCGUAGAGAUGCGGAGGAAUACCGAUGGCGAAGGCAGCCCCCUGGGAUAAUACUGACGCUCAUGCACGAAAGCGUGGGGAGCAAACA